CUGUGGCCAAGGGUGUAUUUCAGUGUAUCCGUGGUUCACGUAGCUGAGAUGUCUCAACGAAAGCUAGACAACAAUGAUGAAAGAUCCAGAUUCAUGAGAAAGCUGAAGAGAAGAAAGGAAGCCUUCAUUCCAAACAGCUUGUCGUUACUUCUUCCGUGUCUAGAAGAGUUCCCUGAACACAGCGAGCGCUCAAUAAAUUAUUGUUCAAUGAAUGUAUGAAUGAGUAGGAAGGAUCUCAUUCAGCCUUUUGAAGAAGCGUGACAGGGAACAUCAAUCAGAAUGAAUCCAAACAGUCCUACGCACACCAGGGAAGAGUAAGUGCCUGAUUUUCUUCCACUGCUUCCGAACUUCCCCAAUCCUAAAGUCAUAACUAGAAUUUUACUUGGCAGGAUGUGAAACCUCUCUUCUGAGUGUCCUUUGGCCUUCAGAUUUGUCCCCAUCCCUGUCAUUCCCCAUCACGAGCUAUUAGAAGAAUAUAUUUCUUUUCCUUGCCCAUCAGCUCUGAAUUUCUCUCCAGGUAGGUCACCGUGAGGGCUAGGUGAUCCCCCAAGGUCAAAGUACCCAUUACCUUUCAGUGUGACUGUUUCUUUCUUACACUUUUCCAUAUUAAAGGCUUUUCCAAGCUAGUCCAUUGAAUAAACAUCCAGAGAUACAGCAUGCUCCAUUCCUCCAGGAGGCCUUUAUGAGAUCACCAGAGUGGAGAUGAGAUGGAGUUUGAAGUUGCAUUCGUGGGCAGUCAGAGCGAUCACACAUUAAUCCUGCUGAAAGGAACAGAAGCCAGUCUGUAAGACAUCUGAAUGCUCCUGGGAGCUGACUGGUCUGCAGUUCUUCCCAGACCUUAAUUAAUGGGAAUUCCUGCAGAGGGGCCUCAUGAGAGCCAAAGCAGACAGUAGUGGGUGAGCUGUUUGGAGAUCAUGCUUGCUUGUUUCCGAGUGGACACACAGUCUUUGGGCAUCUCAUGAAAGGAGAGCCCUAAAGCUCCCUGUGUGUGAGGAAGGCUGGCAGCCUGCAGCUCUGUUCUGCCCCUCUGUCCAGCCAGCCUCACACAUCCACCUUACUACCUUCUCCCGCUUCAUGAGGAAAAGCUUGGCUCUACCAGUGAUCGCUUUCACUGCUUUGUUAGGAUAUUGUUGUUGUUCAGUUGCUAAGUCGUGUCCCAUCCUUUGCAACCUCAUGGACUGCUACACGCCAGGCUUCCCUGUUCUCUACUAUCUCCUGGAGUUGGCUGUAGCUCCAACCUAUUGAAUCACCUAAUGGACUCCUAUUUCCAGCAACGUUUCUUUAACGAGCUGACUGCACGAGCUUUCUUUGCAUCACUAGCUUCAACUGGUCCUCCAGACUACUGUUCUGCUUUCCGUCCCUGAAACUGCCCUUGCCAAGGCUUCCCACUCAAGGAAAUUCAUAAAUGCCCCCUCUGCAAUCACACCCUCCUUGUCUUCCAAAGGAAACAGCCAUCCAUAAUUCUCUUACCACAAAUAUAUGUAGCCCUCAAUACUACGCUGUUCAGUUUGGCCUGCUUUUUGAACUUUUUUAUAAGUGGAAUCAUUCUUCACCAUUCCAGUUCAGCUUGCUUAAUUUUUCACUUAGCAUUCUGUUUCUGAGAUUCAGCUAUUCAGUUUCUCUGUUAUGUGGUAUUUCAUUGAGAGAAUAUAUCAUAGUUUAUUUGCCCAGGUUACUUUCAGACAGUGUGUUGGACAUUGUCCCAGUUUUUGCUUCUGCACACGGUGUUGCUAUGAACAUUCCUAAAUAUUUCUUCUGAGGUAUGUGCGCAAGAGUUUUUAAGCUACAUAUUUGGAAGUGGAAUUGUUGGGUCUUAAGAUACAAAUAUGUUCAAAUUUACACACUAGAUAAUGCCAAUGGUGUUCUAAGUCAGUUGUACCAAUCUGAAUUCCUGCAGUGAUGUUUGAAAGUCCCCUGGCUCUACUUCUCUGCCAGUACUUAUUUUUCCUGUGGGUAUGAAAUGAUUUCUUACUGUGAUUUGUAUUUCAAAUACAAAUUUGUAAAUCAAAUGCUGUGAUUUGCAUUUCUCCAAUUAUAGGUAUAAUUGUUCACCUUUAAUGUUUGCUAACUAUUCUUGUUUUCUCUUUUGUUAAUUUCUCAUGUCUUUCGCCCUAAUUUAUGGGUUUUUAGAAAUCCUUCUUGGCUCCGAGGAUAUAAAAACAUUCUCCCAUAUUUUCUUCUGAAAGCUGUGAAGUUUUGCCUGUUACAUUCCAUCUGAAAUUCAAUCUCUCCUCUCAUUCGCAGUGCCAGAGCUAUCUUAGAGUGGUUUCCAAAUAUCUAUGGGUCAGCUUUAGGCGCUCUGUUGUGUCCCAUUUUCCUAUCCCUAUGCUGGUGACACACAUCCUGAAAAAUCUGUGUGUUUUUUAAAUUGGAAUAUAACUGCUUUCCAGUAUUGUGUUACUUUCUGCAGUGCACCGAAGUGAACGGCUGUGUGUACACACACAUCCCCUCGCUCUGGAGCCUGCCUCGCGCCCCGCUCCAUCCCACCCCGCCUGGUCCUCACGGAGGAUGGCGCUGAGCUGCUCGUGUGACACAGCGGCGUCCCACUGUCUGUCUGUCUGUCCGUCCAUCUCACACAGGCUGGUGAAGACGUGUCAGGGCUACUCUCCUAGUUCACCCACCCUCCGCUUCCCCACCUCGUGGCCCGUAUCUGUUCCUGGGUCUGUGUUUCUAUUCCUGCUCUGCAAAUAGGUUCAUGUGAACCAUUUGUCUAGAUUUCACAUAUAUGUGUUAACAUACGGUAUCUGUUUUUGUGACUUACUUCGCUCUGUUAAUGACAGACUCUGGAUCUAUCCAUAUCUCUACAAAUAACCCA